CCUACGGGUGGCAGCAGUGGGGAAUAUUGCACAAUGGGGGAAACCCUGAUGCAGCGACGCCGCGUGAGUGAAGAAGUAUCUCGGUACGUAAAGCUCUAUCAGCAGGGACGAAACUGACGGUACCUGCCUAAGAAUCCCCGGCUAACUACGUGCCAGCAGCCGCGGUAAUACGUAGGGGGCAAGCGUUAUCCGGAUUUACUGGGUGUAAGGGGAGCGUAGACGGCAGGACAAGUCUGAAGUGAAAUCCAGGGGCUUAACCCCGGAACUGCUUUGGAAACUGUUCGGCUUGAGUGCAGGAGGGGUAAGCGGAAUUCCUAGUGUAGCGGUGAAAUGCGUAGAUAUUAGGAGGAACACCGGUGGCGAAGGCGGCUUACUGGACUGUAACUGACGUUGAGGCGCGAAAGCGUGGGGAGCAAACAGGAUUAGAUACCCUUGUAGUC
rnacentral:rRNA from 1 species